UACGUAGGGGGCAAGCGUUGUCCGGAAUCAUUGGGCGUAAAGCGCGUGUAGGCGGCUUGGUAAGUCUGCUCUGAAAGCCCGGGGCUCAACCCCGGGAGGCGGGUGGAUACUGCCGACCUCGAGUCCGGAAGAGGCGAGUGGAAUUCCUGGUGUAGCGGUGAAAUGCGCAGAUAUCAGGAGGAACACCAAUGGCGAAGGCAGCUCGCUGGGACGGUACUGACACUGAGACGCGAAAGCGUGGGGAGCAAACAGG
rnacentral:rRNA from 1 species